rnacentral:sRNA from 1 species
AAAAAAAACUUGAACAAAA